rnacentral:rRNA from 1 species
CGUCUUCCGCGUCGGACCGUGUACAAGUUUCCUGGAACGGAGCGUCAUAGAGGGUGAGAAUCCCGUCUNUGACACGGACAGCCGAUGCUUUGUGAUGCGCUCUCGAAGAGUCGAGUUGUUUGGGAAUGCAGCUCAAAAUGGGUGGUGAAUUCCAUCUAAAGCUAAAUAUUGGCGAGAGACCGAUAGCGAACAAGUACCGUGAGGGAAAGAUGAAAAGCACUUUGGAAAGAGAGUUAAACAGUACGUGAAAUUGUUGAAAGGGAAACGCUCGAAGUCAGUCGCGUCCGCCGGGACUCAGCCUCGCAAUCUUGCUUGGUGUAUUUUCUGGUGGACGGGCCAGCAUCAAUUUUGGUCGCCGGACAAAGGUUGGAGAAAUGUGGCACCUUCGGGUGUGUUAUAGUCUCUGGCCACAUGCGGCGGUCGGGAUUGAGGAACUCAGCACGCCUUUACGGUCGGGGCUUCGCCCACGUUCCUG